CUGCCGGCGACCGGCGCACGGGUGAGUAACACGUAUGGAACCUGCCCGUAGCAGGGGGAUAAGCGGAAGAAAUUCCGUCUAAUACCGCGUAACAACCCGAGGAGGCAUCUCCUCGGGUUUAAAGGAAGCGAUUCCGGCUACGGAUGGUCAUGCGUCGCAUUAGCUAGUUGGCGGGGUAACGGCCCACCAAGGCGACGAUGCGUAGGGGUUCUGAGAGGAAGGUCCCCCACACUGGUACUGAGACACGGACCAGACUCCUACGGGAGGCAGCAG
rnacentral:rRNA from 1 species